AGGAUGUCGUAGAUGAAGAGAGUAGUCCUUCUUCAGAAGGGAAGCGAGCUAGGGAUGGUGUGAGCCUAGUACGGAGAAGAGGAUGAAGCGCACUUCGGAGACGCUGCUUGAAGCGAAUAGUAGGGUAAGCCGGGGUUCCCUGUCCUCGUUAUAAACGGGAAAGUGGUUCAAAUUGAACAACAAGGGUGGUACCACGGGUGAUAACUCGUCUCUUUU
rnacentral:ncRNA from 1 species